UCAUUGGACCUUCAGAACAAUGCAGGGAUGGUAUUGUCCCCCACGUCAGAGCCAGGAAACCAGAGGCACAGAGGUGUCAAGUGACUCAUCCAAAGUCACACCACUGUUAGCAUUAUCAAGUUUGAGGUCAGAUCUUCUGCUUCCAAGAGUGAUUAAUUUCACUUUCUGUGUCUUCCUCCAUGAGCCCUAAUGCUUCUGCUGAGAUUCCUAAUUCAGUGAACCUGUUGAGGGGAUCAUUUCUGUUAGACAGACAGCUGCUGAAAAGGCAUUCGCUUUCUGAGCAUGGAUUUUAGGUUAUGGCCAAUCAAGACUCCGAGCUGGAAGAACACCUGUCAGAGACGCUUUUCUGCAAGGAGAUGGUCUCUUUAAUCAGAUUUCAUUGUACUUCAGAAAAAGGUUCAUUUUAAAAUGUGAGGAAACUAAGGCUCAGAAAAGAAGAGUUGUCAUUCAAGUUUAUGGGAUUCAUGAAUGAAAGAGCUAGAACUUGGACCCGGGUCUGUCUGAUGCCAAAGCUCCUGUUGGCCCAGCCAUGUGCCACUGUUUUCUCCCUCCGCAUUUCAGCAUCACAGAGUCAUGGCCAGAGCCCUGACAUCUCAGAGAAAAAACACAUCGUGGAGGUCGUCUGUCUGGUUCCACUCCUGUCGGCGUUGAGGAGAAAGUUUCAGCCUAACAUUUCCAGCCACCGAUCGUUUGCAGAGCGGGGGCUGUCACUUUGCAGUGAUUUCCUCACCUGAAACAGUGAGACCAGAAUCUGCAGCUUACCAAAGAGGAGCACAAAAGCUGGCCCCGAAUUAUUUUUGGCAAAUGUACACAGCCCUUUGUCUGCAGGAAAAAGGAAGCUAUAUUCCGGAGUAACUUAAACAAGU